rnacentral:rRNA from 1 species
GUAGGUGGCAAGCGUUGUCCGGAAUUAUUGGGCGUAAAGCGCGCGCAGGCGGUUCUUUAAGUCUGAUGUGAAAGCCCACGGCUCAACCGUGGAGGGUCAUUGGAAACUGGAGAACUUGAGUACAGAAGAGGAAAGCGGAAUUCCACGUGUAGCGGUGAAAUGCGAAGAGAUGUGGAGGAACACCAGUGGCGAAGGCGGCUUUCUGGUCUGUAACUGACGCUGAGGCGCGAAAGCGUGGGGAGCAAACAGGGAUUAGAUACCCUGGUAGUCCACGCCGUAAACGAUGAGUGCUAAGUGUUAGGGGGUUUCCGCCCCCUUAGUGCUGCAGCUAACGCAUUAAGCACUCCGCCUGGGGAGUACGGCCGCAAGGCUG